GUCGUGGUGUCUUGUUGAUGAUGGCGCCUCUAUAACAGCAUCCAACAUCCUUCUUUUCAAGAGAAGUAGCCCUUCGUAGAAGUAAUGUAUCAAAGACUGAUAUGAUAUAUCAUGUUGUGGACAGCUUGCGCAUAACUGUUUGAACCUUUCCCAAUAAUCCUGCAAGCUCUUGGAAUCUCUUUGACGGAUCCCACAUAUUUCUCUCCUAAUGCCUAUUACCUUAUAUGCUAGGAAGAAAC
rnacentral:lncRNA from 1 species